rnacentral:rRNA from 1 species
GUGAGGAAUAUUGGUCAAUGGGCGGGAGCCUGAACCAGCCAAGUCGCGUGAAGGAAGAAGGAUCUAUGGUUCGUAAGCUUCUUUUGCAGGGGAAUAAAGUGCGGGACGUGUCCUGUUUUGUAUGUACCCUGAGAAUAAGGAUCGGCUAACUCCGUGCCAGCAGCCGCGGUAAUACGGAGGAUCCGAGCGUUAUCCGGAUUUAUUGGGUUUAAAGGGUGCGUAGGUGGUUUGAUAAGUCAGCGGUGAAAGUUUGCAGCUUAACUGUAAAAAUGCCGUUGAAACUGUCGGACUUGAGUGUAAAUGAGGUAGGCGGAAUGCGUGGUGUAGCGGUGAAAUGCAUAGAUAUCACGCAGAACUCCGAUUGCGAAGGCAGCUUACUAAGCUACAACUGACACUGAAGCACGAAAGCGUGGGGAUCAAACAGGAUUAGAUACCCUAGUAGUCC